GUGACUGCGUACCUUUUGUAUAAUGGGUCAGCGACUUAUAUUCUGUAGCAAGGUUAACCGUAUAGGGGAGCCGUAGGGAAACCGAGUCUUAACUGGGCGAAUGAGUUGCAGGGUAUAGACCCGAAACCCGGUGAUCUAGCCAUGGGCAGGUUGAAGGUUGGGUAACACUAACUGGAGGACCGAACCGACUAAUGUUGAAAAAUUAGCGGAUGACUUGUGGCUGGGGGUGAAAGGCCAAUCAAACCGGGAGAUAGCUGGUUCUCCCCGAAAGCUAUUUAGGUAGCGCCUCGUGAACUCAUCUUCGGGGGUAGAGCACUGUUUCGACUAGGGGGUCAUCCCGACUUACCAACUCGAUGCAAACUACGAAUACCGAAGAAUGUUAUCACGGGAGACACACGGCGGGUGCUAACGUUCGUCGUGAAGAGGGAAACAACCCAGACCGCCAGCUAAGGUCCCAAAGUCAUAGUUAAGUGGGAAACGAAGUGGGAAGGCUCAGACAGCCAGGAUGUUGGCUUAGAAGCAGCCAUCAUUUAAAGAAAGCGUAAUAGCUCACUGGUCGAGUCGGCCUGCGCGGAAGAUGUAACGGGGCUAAACUAUGCACCGAAGCUGCGGCAGCGAUAUGUAAAUAUUGUUGGGUAGGGGAGCGUUCUGUAAGCCUGUGAAGGUGUACUGUGAGGUAUGCUGGAGGUAUCAGAAGUGCGAAUGCUGACAUAAGUAACGAUAAUGCGGGUGAAAAACCCGCACGCCGGAAGACCAAGGGUUCCUGUCCAACGUUAAUCGGGGCAGGGUGAGUCGACCCCUAAGGCGAGGCAGAAAUGCGUAGUCGAUGGGAAACGGGUUAAUAUUCCCGUACUGGUGAUAAUUGCGAUGGGGGGACGGAGAAGGCUAGGCUAUCCGGGCGACGGUUGUCCCGGUUUAAGGAUGUAGGCAGGUGAAUUAGGCAAAUCCGGUUCACUA
rnacentral:rRNA from 1 species